CCUACGGGAGGCAGCAGUGAGGAAUAUUGGUCAAUGGGCGCGAGCCUGAACCAGCCAAGUAGCGUGAAGGAUGACUGCCCUACGGGUUGUAAACUGCUUUUAUAAAGGAAUAAAGUGAGGCACGUGGGCCUUUUUGUAUGUACUUUAUGAAUAAGGAUCGGCUAACACCGCGCCAGCAGCCGCGGUAAUACGGAGGAUCCGAGCGUUAUCCGGAUUUAUUGGGUUUAAAGGGAGCGUAGAGGGGUUGUUAAGUCAGUUGUGAAAGUUUGCGGCUCAACCGUAAAAUUGCAAUUGAUACUGGCAGCCUUGAGUACAGUUGAGGUAGGCGGAAUUCGUGGUGUAGCGGUGACAUGCUUCGAUAUCACGAAGAACUCCGAUUGCGCAGGCAGCUUACUAAACUGCCACUGCCAUUGAUGCUCGACAGUGUGGGUAUCAAACAGGAUUAGAUACCCGAGUAGUC
rnacentral:rRNA from 1 species